CAGUUCCAUUCUACCAUCGAUCGAUGCCAUCGAUCGACGAACGAUCGAUUGAUCUGGUAGCAACUAUCGAUCGACGUUGACAGUUCCAUUCUACCAUCGAUCGAUGCCGUUGAUCGACGAACGAUCGAUUGAUCUGGUAGCAACUAUCGAUCGACGUUGACAGUUCCAUUCUACCAUCGAUCGAUGCCAUCGAUCGACGAACGAUCGAUUGAUCUGGUAGCAACUAUCGAUCGACGUUGACAGUUCCAUUCUACCAUCGAUCGAUGCCGUUGAUCGACGAUCGAUCGAUUGGUCUGGUAACACCCAUAAGGCAGUGGAAUUUGAUUCGGAUUUUGGCAAUGGAACUUGAAAGCUUCGUACUUAUAAAAAUUAAAGGUUUCUUCGUUUUGCUUGGGGAGUUUUUGCUGUCUCAUUAGAUGCUCUUCUACGGAAGUGUACGGUCCACAGAGAAAAAGAUCUCGCCGAGACCGGGGUGAGCUGGCAAGAACGGGUUAAUAGGACCUAUCGGACCCACAAUCCGAUAUCUCUGGCGGAGUGAGGUUACUGGGGAAAAAGUUGUCUUGGUUCAUUGAAAGAGUUCUGUUGAGCUGAUUUCAGAGCUGAGUCGCUAACAGUCACUUAGUAAUGGAAUACACACUACACGUUUAAGCAGGGAGGGAAAGCACCGACAAGUCUAGAAAAUAGAUUGUAUUUUUCCAUAGCACACGCAUGUGUUCCAUUACAAAAUUCAAUCGAUUUGGGGGCGAGGUGUAACUGGCCAUAAGCCUAUAUAAAGGGUGGUCCAGAUAUAGAGGCCGCCUAUGAAAAUGUUGAUUGCAAUUAAAUGAAAAGCAUGAGACAAAACAUGAAUGAUGUGUUUUUUACAAUAUUUAUUUUAGCAAAACGUACAAACAAUAUUAUAACCCAACGGGCCCUUGUUUGGCACAUUGUAGCAGUUUGGGACGGAAGCGAUUAAACAGCAAUUUUCCAGAUUUUUCCGCAAUUUCCUUGGAAAUCCGUUUCCAGAUUCUUUUCAUUGCUGGUAUGGAGGUUACUGGUUUAUUUAACUCGCAAUAUCUUUGCUUGCAAAGAGCCCAAAACUUUUCAAUUGGACGUAGCUGUGGCACAUUUGGCAAGUUGUCUCGCUUAGGCACAAUAACGACUCCUGCCUUUUUGAGUUCUUUUAGCACAGGUCCCACGUAGUGUGACGUAGCGAGAUCUGGCCAAAAUAAAAUAGGCCUCUGCACAUUAAGCUUCCGAAUGAAUGGCAAUAAUCGUUUUUUAAUACACUCUUCUAAGUAUAUUUCGCUGUUCACAGUUCGGUUAGUCACGAAGGGUUCGGAAAUGUGUCCUUCUUCAGAGAUCGCUUGCCAAAUCAUGAAGCGGCGUUCAAACUUCCCAGUUGGGAGUAACGUGUCUUCGAUUGGAGUCUCCUGUUCAUCGUCCGACAUGCAGUACUUGUCUCCUGCUACUUGCGUUGGAUCCAAGGGCACGUAGGUUUCGUCGUCUAAAACAAAGAAGAAAUUUCGUCCGCUCGGAACGCUGUCUUUGUAUAGCUUAGCUGCACCCUUAAUACACCGAUCAAUCUGAUUUUGAUUGUAUUUGGGGCUGCGUCUUUCCUUCUGCUUCGAAUUCCAGCGGCUUUAUUCACUCGUCGGUACGUUGAAAGACUCAUUCCCAGUUCUCGUGACGCGACGCGAUCAGAUUUGCUACGAUUCUGUCUCGCCUUCCUCAAUACUUUUUUUUGCAAUCUAGGCGUAUUUAUAGUUGGUUUUUGGCCGGGAAGUGGCCUGAAUCCCACUUGAUGAUUAUUUACGUACCGAUUGAUUACAUUUCGGAUGGUCCGCUGAGGUACGUUUUGCUCGCGAAAGUGAUGCAAAGUCAGUAGACGGUUUUCAGAAUGACGUUUGUAAAACUUAGCUCGGUAUUCGUGCUCGGCACGCUUCAUUAUUAUGUAUUUUUUGGAAACAUGCAACUGAAAUCAAAACUAGGAUAAACAACAAUUAAAAUGCAUUUGAUAUUUAUUUCAAUUGUUUAUUUUUUAAUGUGCUCCCGAUAUUUCGACGCAGUUACAUGCAUCAUGAUCACGGGUAAACGGGUUUAUAUCUCGGUCAAUGUGACUAAAAACUAACCGUGAAUCAAUCAAAACUCUUACAUGAGAUUAGUUUUGAUUUUAAGAACUGAAAUAAAAAAGUUAGUUAUUAAGUUGUCACAAUCACAAAUCAACACAAAUUCGUGAUUUCUUUUGUUCUUGGUAACAAUUAAGAUUCACCCGUUUAUUUUGGCAGGUUUAUUAGUACGGCUACAGCUUUUUACCUCAUUUGUGAAAAGUACCUUAUCUUCAAGAGGACAAUUGAUGCUUCUAAGAUUGGGCAUUUAGCUCUUCUUAGCUUCGAUCCUCUACUGGGUGACUAAAACUUUUUUUUAUUUUUUUUUUUAUCUUGCACGUGUGCAUUUGCCCUGAUGCAUAUAGUACCCAUUGCAGGCGGUGUUUAGUGCUUUGUGAAAAGUACCUUAUCUUUAGGAGGACAAUAAAUGCUUCUAAGAAUGAGCCCGUUAUAUUGUUAUUGGCUAGCUAAAACGAUUUAUUUUUAUUUAUGGCAUUUUCUUAUCUUGCACGUGUGCUCUUGACCUGACACAUGUGCAGAUGGUGUUUUAGUGCCUUCUCCCACUCUACCAUAUAACCCGACUUCUGAAACAAUGACAGUGAGGGUAAGUAAUUUAGUCACGAUUUACUCGUUGGCACCUUCUUACCUACACUACCUACCUUUCGCUCGUGUAUAACUAGUGAAGUGACCUGGCUGUGGAUUAUCGGAAUACGUACUUGCCUAACCUGACUGAGCCCGCUUUGAACUGGACACCGAACCUGCUUUAUCAGACGACCUGGCUACGAAUUCUGGAAACAUGAACCUUCCCGCAUCGACUGACACGGCUAUGCAUCCUGACCUGGCAGCUAUGCAGGUGGAGAUAAAUAACUUUGACGAAACUGCAACUGAACCAACUGGUACGUACCCGGUAUCCUAUACUUUAUACUCUUUUUAUGGCGGGAAACGUAUAAAAUAACAAUAAAUAAUACUUUGACUACCGGUCUGGC